rnacentral:rRNA from 1 species
CAGCGCCACGAGUGGCAAUCGCGAUUAUUGGGCCUAAAGCGUCCGUAGCCGGUUUGGUAAAUCCUUUGUGAAAUCGCCAGGCUUAACCUGGCGGCGUGCAGGGGACACUGCCAAACUCGAGACCGGGAGGAGUUAGAAGUAUUUCUGGGGGAGCGGUAAAAUGCUAUAAUCCCAGAAGGACUACCUAUGGCGAAGGCAUCUAACUAGAACGGAUCUGACGGUGAGGGACGAAAGCCAGGGGAGCGAACCGGAUUAGAUACCCGCGUAGUCC